rnacentral:rRNA from 1 species
ACGAGUGGCGGACGGGUGAGUAAUGUCUGGGAAACUGCCUGAUGGAGGGGGAUAACUACUGGAAACGGUAGCUAAUACCGCAUAACGUCUUCGGACCAAAGUGGGGGACCUUCGGGCCUCAUGCCAUCAGAUGUGCCCAGAUGGGAUUAGCUAGUAGGUGGGGUAACGGCUCACCUAGGCGACGAUCCCUAGCUGGUCUGAGAGGAUGACCAGCCACACUGGAACUGAGACACGGUCCAGACUCCUACGGGAGGCAGCAGUGGGGAAUAUUGCACAAUGGGCGCAAGCCUGAUGCAGCCAUGCCGCGUGUAUGAAGAAGGCCUUCGGGUUGUAAAG